rnacentral:rRNA from 1 species
UACGUAGGUGGCAAGCGUUGUCCGGAUUUACUGGGCGUAAAGAGCGCGCAGGCGGCCGAAUAAGUCGAAUGUGAAAGCCCCCGGCUCAACUGGGGAAGGUCAUUCGAUACUGUUCGGCUCGAAGAUAGGAGAGGGAAGCGGAAUUUCAGGUGUAGUGGUGAAAUGCGUAGAUAUCUGAAGGAACACCAGUGGCGAAGGCGGCUUUCUGGCCUAUUCUUGACGCUGAGGCGCGAAAGCUAGGGGAGCGAACGGG